UUUUAAUUGGGAGUGGGACAGUAAUGAGAUUUUCGCAAAAUUUAUUUCGUCGUCCCACCACAAC
rnacentral:sRNA from 1 species